rnacentral:rRNA from 1 species
UACGUAGGGCGCAAGCGUUAUCCGGAAUUAUUGGGCGUAAAGAGCUCGUAGGCGGUUUGUCGCGUAUGCCGUGAAAGUCCGGGGCUCAACUCCGGAUCUGCGGUGGGUACGGGCAGACUAGAGUGAUGUAGGGGAGACUGGAAUUCCUGGUGUAGCGGUGAAAUGCGCAGAUAUCAGGAGGAACACCGAUGGCGAAGGCAGGUCACUGGGCCGCAACUGACGCUGAGGAGCGAAAGCAUGGGGAGCGAACAGG